rnacentral:rRNA from 1 species
UGAGGAAUAUUGGUCAAUGGGCGGAAGCCUGAACCAGCCAUGCCGCGUGCGAGACGACGGCCCUACGGGUUGUAAACCGCUUUUGCAGGGGAGCAAUAAGGGGGUUUCGCACCCCCGACGAGCGUACCCUGCGAAUCAGCACCGGCUAACUCCGUGCCAGCAGCCGCGGUAAUACGGAGGGUGCGAGCGUUAUCCGGAUUUAUUGGGUUUAAAGGGUGCGUAGGCUGUGCGUCAAGUCAGGGGUGAAAUUCCGUCGCUCAACGUCGGGUGUGCCCUUGAUACUGGCGCGCUGGAGUACGGAUGCCGCCGGAGGAAUGAGUGGUGUAGCGGUGAAAUGCAUAGAUAUCACUCAGAACACCGAUUGCGAAGGCAUCUGGCGAAUCCGUCACUGACGCUGAUGCACGAAAGCGUGGGGAUAAAACAGG